rnacentral:tRNA from 1 species
GGUGGGGUUCCCGAGCGGCCAAAGGGAGCAGACUGUAAAUCUGCCGUCAUCGACUUCGAAGGUUCGAUCCUUCCCCCACCACCA